GGAGGGGUGGCAGAAUGGUAAUGCGCUGGCCUCGAAAGCCAGUGGCCUAUUAUGGCCUUGUGGGUUCGAAUCCCACCCCCUCCG
rnacentral:tRNA from 1 species